rnacentral:rRNA from 1 species
GACGAACGCUGGCGGCGUGCUUAACACAUGCAAGUCGAACGGUAAGACCCUUCGGGGUACACGAGUGGCGAACGGGUGAGUAACACGUGGGUGACCUGCCCUGCACUUCGGGAUAAGCCUGGGAAACUGGGUCUAAUACCGGAUAGGACCACUGCCUGCAUGGGUGGUGGUGGAAAGCUUUUGCGGUGUGGGAUGGGCCCGCGGCCUAUCAGCUUGUUGGUGGGGUGAUGGCCUACCAAGGCGACGACGGGUAGCUGGCCUGAGAGGGUGACCGGCCACACUGGGACUGCGAUACGGCCCAGACUGCUACGGGAGGCAGCAGUGGGGAAUAUUGCACAAUGGGCGCAAGCCUGAUGCAGCGACGCCGCGUGAGGGAUGCCGGCCUUCGGGUUGUAAACCUCUUUCAGCACCGACGAAGCGCAAGUGACGGUAGGUGCAGAAGAAGGACCGGCCAACUACGUGCCAGCCGCCGCCGUAA